CUCUCUGCAGCAUUUCAACUACUUGUAUUUCCCCAUCUUUACAACUGCAACCACGUGAACACUGGUCAAAUAUCAUCCGAAGAAAUUAAUCUUAGCCUUCCUUAAUAAAUUAAACUCAGCCUAGGGAAAAUGUUUAUGUAAUUUAAUCAUCAUUAUUAAAAAAAGCAGUCAUGUAGAAGAACAAACAAAUUGGGUGGGAUGUUCGAGGAUGUCACUGUUAUCCCUAAGACCUCUUCACUAAAGUUUACAAGGGAAAAGAUGUCUCUUCAUUUGUCUGCACAUCAAAACAAAGCUUGAGAGAGUGCUAACAGAUGCAGACGCCUUUCUGAGCUACUCCCAUAUGCUGCUGUCAUGGCCAGGAAUAGUGUUGGUGCUCUGCUCUUAAGUCUCCAGGGAACGGGAAGAACAAGAGAGAGGUUUCAAGAGACUCUAGCAAUCAUCACAAAGCAGAAGCUGGAGAAGUAGAAGUGGUUUUGCACUCAAAGUGCCAAGCAGAGCUGACCACCCACAUAGCUGCAACAUUGUGCUAACAUACUAACUUUGAGGAGAUCUCAGCUCAUUCCUCGUGCUACCUUUAUGUGUUCUUAAAGUGCAGAAUGAAAAAGGUUUUGGGUUUUGUUUUUUUUUUUUCCUUAUGAUAAUGACUAGAAGAUGCAACAACAAACAUACAUAUUUUGUGAUUGUUCUUGCAUGUCUGGACUUAU